ACGAACGCUGGCGGCUGCUUAACACAUGCAAGUCGAACGGAGUGGCGAACGGGUGAGUAACGCGUGAGCAACCUGCCUAUGACAGUGGGAUAGCCUCGGGAAACCGGGAUUAAUACCGCAUAGUCCUAGAUGGGCUCGCGUCUGAUUAGCUACUUGGUGAGAUAACAGCCCACCAAGGCGACGAUCAGUAGGCGGUCUGAGAGGAUGGACGGCCACAUUGGAACUGAGACGCGGUCCAAACGCCUACGGGAGGCAGCAGUGGGGAAUAUUGCACAAGGGGGGAAAGCCUGAUGCAGCGACGCCGCGUGAACGAAGAAGGUAUUCGUAGCGUAAAGUUCUGUCCUAUGGGAAGCAGUACCAUAGAAGAAAGCCACGGCUAACUACGUGCCAGCAGCCGCGGUAAUAC
rnacentral:rRNA from 1 species